rnacentral:rRNA from 1 species
GACGAACGCUGGCGGCGUGCUUAACACAUGCAAGUCGAACGGAAAGGCCCUGCUUUUGUGGGGUGCUCGAGUGGCGAACGGGUGAGUAACACGUGAGUAACCUGCCCUUGACUUUGGGAUAACUUCAGGAAACUGGGGCUAAUACCGGAUAGGAGCUCCUGCUGCAUGGUGGGGGUUGGAAAGUUUCGGCGGUUGGGGAUGGACUCGCGGCUUAUCAGCUUGUUGGUGGGGUAGUGGCUUACCAAGGCUUUGACGGGUAGCCGGCCUGAGAGGGUGACCGGCCACAUUGGGACUGAGGUACGGCCCAGACUCCUACGGGCGGCAGCAGUGGGGAAUAUUGCACAAUGGGCGGAAGCCUGAUGCAGCAACGCCGCGUGCGGGAUGACGGCCUUCGGGUUGUAAACCGCUUUCGCCUGUGACGAAGCGUGAGUGACGGUAAUGGGUAAAGAAGCACCGGCUAACUACGUG